CCAUAUAAGGUCAUCCUGUAACGACCCCAUGAGUUCACCCCCUAACGACCCCAUAACUCGUCCCAUAACGACCCCAUAAGAUCGUCUCAUAAUGACCCUAUAAAGAGACCCUAUAACGACCCUAUAAGACCAUCCCAUAAUGACCCUAUAAGGUCAUCCUAUAACAACCCCAUAACUCGUCCUGUAACGACCCCAUAAGGUCAUCCCAUAAUGACCCCAUAAGGUCAUCCCAUAAUGACCCCAUAAGGUUGUCCUGUAACGGUCCCAUGAGGUCGUCCCCUAACGACCCCAUGAGUUUACCCCAUAACGACCCCAUAACUCGUCCCAGAACGACCCUAUAAGGUCAUCCUGUAACGACCCCCUAAUGACCCCAUAAGGUCAUCCCAUAACGACCCCAUAAGAUCGUCCCAUAAUGACCCUAUAAGGUCAUCCCAUAACGACCCCAUAACGACC